CCUGAACACCAAUAGUUGCGCUUAGAUUUUAACGACGAUUUACUUAUUCGAUUGGAUCCAUUUCCAUAGGCAAAGUACAUUGAAAAUCGUUGGUAAAUCUAAAUUGAAGAGUCAAAAUAAUCGAUAACAAUUAAACUUCGAUUCAAAUUAACUCAUCUUAUACUUAUUCAAUCAUGUGGAUAAUUAAUCUCUCAUUGAUUGUAACCAGCGAUUUAAUCAUAUGGCAAAAAAUGGUUUUUAAUCAACAAAGUUAAUAGCUAUUAACCGUGGCCUUAACAUUGAAUUGAUGGUCGCUGAUAACAAUGGAACAGGAAAACCAAUAGAUGUUGAAUUAGAUUACAAAAAGCAAAUAGAUAUUGAAAUAUAUCGGUCGCUGUAUCUUCCAAGGCGAGAACACUUAGAAACCAAUUAACUGCGAAAAAUGGUAACAAUGAGACACCCGAUCGAAGUGCAGGUUACAAUUAACGGAACUUGGAUCAUAUUAACUCACCAUUAUGAGUAUUGAAACAGGCACGAUGAAGGAAAACAUCAUUCCACCUUCAAUGGACAUCCAGCAACUAAUUAAUUAAUUAGUGAUUAAGGAGGAGGAAAAAAAAAAUAAAGAUGAGAAAACAAGAUUAGUUUUUUUUUCUCAAUGCUAAUUAACAUGGUUAAUUAAUCCAGAUGACUCAUAAUCAAUCACUACCUUGAAAUGUUAUCAUGAUUUCAAGGUUAUCUUAUUUGUAGCUUAAGUUAAUUUAUCAUCUCCAUACAAUAACAAAAUAACCAAGAGCAAUGACAAGAUGAAGGAAAUCAAUGAAUUAACUGAUUCUAAUUAAUAACUAAUUUGUUAUUCAUUGACCUAGAUAAAUGUUUAUCAUGACGAUGAUGAAGAAAAUGAGGAAACAAAGUGAAGACAAAAGAGGAAAAUAUAAAGAGAUGAAAAUGAAGAUGAAUUCUCACCAUGAAGCCAAUGAAUUAAAAUUUUCAAAACGAAUCCAUUGUUAAUAAUAUCAUGAUGAAAUUCUGAAUAUACUAGGAAACUCCUUCAUCACCCGAAUUAAGUCAAUAUUCAUGAUAAUAUUAAUGACAUAAUUCAGUGUCAAUGUAUUAUUUUGAUUAUUAUUUGGAAACUGAUUGGAAGAUCAAUUCUGAUUCAAUGAAUAUGAAUCAAUGUGCAUAAACCAGCAAAAGCUUUUUUCAUUUAUGCUUAUAUUUAUAUCACUUUUCAUCAGAUUCAUCAGCAUAAGCUUUUUUUAUCAUCCAAGUAGAAAGAAUCAGAAGAUGAUAAAGAGAGAUGAUGAUGAUGAUGAUAAAAGAAAAGGCAAAACAAAGAUGAAGAGAAGAAAGUUCAGAGAAAGAGAAUUGAGAAACUUGAUGAGCAAUGAGACUCUCUCUCUCUCUCUCUCUCUCUCUCUCUCAGUUGAAUAUUUCCACCAUCGUCCUCAUGAACUUAACUGAACCGUUUCAGAACAGAUAAGAAAAAAGGAGUUAGAAUAUUAUCUUUAUUCUUUGCUCUUCUUUCUGUGUUAUUUUUUAUUCUCAUGGCUUCAUGCUGAGUAUUUUUCUCUUUUCUCACCAAUAGCAGCAGAUUCCAAGAUGAUGGUGAUGAUCAUGAAGACGAAAUAAGCAACAACAACCGAGAGAAAAAAAAAGGAAGAAGACAAACAAAACUCGGAGUUCGGAUGAACCGUUGAAGAAGAAAACUUUCAAUUGCAAGAAAUCAUCCUGAAAGAAAUUCAGUGUUUCGGUUUCAUUGUCAUGCGAAUACGAUAAAUUUCAACAAUACAACAUGUCGAAAAAUAAACAAAUUUUUGAUUGAUUUUCAAUUGAUUAUUUACUUUGAAUUAAUUGUUAGCAUUUUCCACUGUUCAGUUUAUUGUCAUUCUCAUGAUUAACUUGUAACGGAAACAAUGAUAAUUUAUUGUCAAUAUUUUAACAUUAAGAUUCAUUUACCCUAA